rnacentral:rRNA from 1 species
CGCGGCCUAUCAGCUUGUUGGUGAGGUAACGGCUCACCAAGGCAUCGACGGGGAGCUGGUCUGAGAGGACGAUCAGCCACACUGGGACUGAGACACGGCCCAGACUCCUACGGGAGGCAGCAGUAGGGAAUCUUGCGCAAUGGGCGAAAGCCUGACGCAGCAACGCCGCGUGGGGGAUGAAUGCCUUCGGGUUGUAAACCCCUUUCAGCAGGGACGAAAAUGACGGUACCUGCAGAAGAAGCUCCGGCCAACUACGUGCCAGCAGCCGCGGUAAUACGUAGGGAGCGAGCGUUGUCCGGAAUUAUUGGGCGUAAAGAGCUCGUAGGCGGUUCAGUAAGUCGGGUGUGAAAACUCAAGGCUCAACCUUGAGACGCCACUCGAUACUGCUGUGACUUGAGUCCGGUAGAGGAGUGUGGAAUUCCUGGUGUAGCGGUGAAAUGCGCAGAUAUCAGGAGGAACACCAGCGGCGAAGGCGGCACUCUGGGCCGGUACUGACGCUGAGGAGCGAAAGCAUGGGGAGCAAACAGGAUUAGAUACCCUGGUAGUCCAUGCCGUAAACGUUGGGCACUAGGUAUGGGAUCAUAUCAACGGAUUCCGUGCCGUAGCUAACGCAUUAAGUGCCCCGCCUGGGGAGUACGG